AGAGUUUGAUCAUGGCUCAGAUUGAACGCUGGCGGCAGGCCUAACACAUGCAAGUCGAACGGUAACAGGAAGCAGCUUGCUGCUUCGCUGACGAGUGGCGGACGGGUGAGUAAUGUCUGGGAAACUGCCUGAUGGAGGGGGAUAACUACUGGAAACGGUAGCUAAUACCGCAUAACGUCGCAAGACCAAAGAGGGGGACCUUCGGGCCUCUUGCCAUCGGAUGUGCCCAGAUGGGAUUAGCUAGUAGGUGGGGUAACGGCUCACCUAGGCGACGAUCCCUAGCUGGUCUGAGAGGAUGACCAGCCACACUGGAACUGAGACACGGUCCAGACUCCUACGGGAGGCAGCAGUGGGGAAUAUUGCACAAUGGGCGCAAGCCUGAUGCAGCCAUGCCGCGUGUAUGAAGAAGGCCUUCGGGUUGUAAAGUACUUUCAGCGGGGAGGAAGGGAGUAAAGUUAAUACCUUUGCUCAUUGACGUUACCCGCAGAAGAAGCACCGGCUAACUCCGUGCCAGCAGCCGCGGUAAUACGGAGGGUGCAAGCGUUAAUCGGAAUUACUGGGCGUAAAGCGCACGCAGGCGGUUUGUUAAGUCAGAUGUGAAAUCCCCGGGCUCAACCUGGGAACUGCAUCUGAUACUGGCAAGCUUGAGUCUCGUAGAGGGGGGUAGAAUUCCAGGUGUAGCGGUGAAAUGCGUAGAGAUCUGGAGGAAUACCGGUGGCGAAGGCGGCCCCCUGGACGAAGACUGACGCUCAGGUGCGAAAGCGUGGGGAGCAAACAGGAUUAGAUACCCUGGUAGUCCACGCCGUAAACGAUGUCGACUUGGAGGUUGUGCCCUUGAGGCGUGGCUUCCGGAGCUAACGCGUUAAGUCGACCGCCUGGGGAGUACGGCCGCAAGGUUAAAACUCAAAUGAAUUGACGGGGGCCCGCGCAAGCGGUGGAGCAUGUGGUUUAAUUCGAUGCAACGCGAAGAACCUUACCUGGUCUUGACAUCCACGGAAGUUUUCAGAGAUGAGAAUGUGCCUUCGGGAACCGUGAGACAGGUGCUGCAUGGCUGUCGUCAGCUCGUGUUGUGAAAUGUUGGGUUAAGUCCCGCAACGAGCGCAACCCUUAUCCUUUGUUGCCAGCGGUCCGGCCGGGAACUCAAAGGAGACUGCCAGUGAUAAACUGGAGGAAGGUGGGGAUGACGUCAAGUCAUCAUGGCCCUUACGACCAGGGCUACACACGUGCUACAAUGGCGCAUACAAAGAGAAGCGAUCUCGCGAGAGCAAGCGGACCUCAUAAAGUGCGUCGUAGUCCGGAUUGGAGUCUGCAACUCGACUCCAUGAAGUCGGAAUCGCUAGUAAUCGUGGAUCAGAAUGCCACGGUGAAUACGUUCCCGGGCCUUGUACACACCGCCCGUCACACCAUGGGAGUGGGUUGCAAAAGAAGUAGGUAGCUUAACCUUCGGGAGGGCGCUUACCACUUUGUGAUUCAUGACUGGGGUGAAGUCGUAACAAGGUAACCGUAGGGGAACCUGCGGUUGGAUCACCU
rnacentral:rRNA from 1 species